AUACUAAUAACGGGGGAAGCUGGAGGCAGAAGAAAAAAAUGGGAUAUGCAAAACUACAAAGAAAUAGAAAACCUCAAAUAGCAAGGGUGGUGAGUCCCUGGGAAUGAAUGCUGCUUUGAAACAGACAAAAAUGGAAAUAAAUCAUCGUAGAUAUCAGAGAUGACAGCCAGGGUUACCACUCCAGCCAGAGACAGUGAAAGGAACAUAAUGGCUCCAAACCCAGAAAGGAGGGAGACCAGAUGCUACAGAAUGAGAUAAAGGAAGUUGAAGCACUAGAACAGGCAUGAUCACUUAUGCCACCCCAGCUGAAGGGCAGGAACUCCUUUGCCUGCUACAAGGUUUUCAGCAAGCAGAUACUCCAAUGCAGAGCCUGCCUUCAAACUUCAAAGAGUCCACAGAGCCCAGAGGACUGGAUAUCAGACACCCACUGUCUCCCAGGAAAGCCCAUUCCUCCUAUCUUAGUGAGGAGGGAGCAAGCUGAGGCACAGG